rnacentral:rRNA from 1 species
GACGAACGCUGGCGGCGGGCUUAACACAUGCCAGUCGAACGGAAAGGCCCUGCUUUCUUGGGGUUCUCGAGUGGCGAACGGGUGAGUAACACGUGAGUAACCUGCUCUAGACUUUGGGAUAACUUCAGGAAACUGGGGCUAAUAUCGGAUAGGAUCUCCUGCUGCGUUGUGGGGGGUGGAAAGUUUCGGCGGUUGGGGAUGGACUCGCGGCUUAUCAGCUUGUUAGUGGGGUAGGGGCUUACCAAGGCUUUGACGGGUAGCCGGCCUGAGAGGGUGACCGGCCACAUUGGGACUGAGAUACGGCCCAGACUCCUACGGGAGGCAGCAGUGGGGAAUAUUGCACAAUGGGCGGAAGCCUGAUGCAGCAACGCCGCGUGCGGGAUGACGGCCUUCGGGUUGUAAACCGUUUUCGCCUGUGACGAAGCGUGAGUGACGGUAAUGGGUAAAGAAGCACCGGCUAACUACGUG